rnacentral:rRNA from 1 species
AGUGAACGCUGGCGGUAGGCCUAACACAUGCAAGCCGAACGGCAGCACAGUAAGAGCUUGCUCUUACGGGUGGCGAGUGGCGGACGGGUGAGGAAUACAUCGGAAUCUACUUUUUCGUGGGGGAUAACGUAGGGAAACUUACGCUAAUACCGCAUACGGCCUACGGGUGAAAGCAGGGGAUCUUCGGACCUUGCGCGAUUGAAUGAGCCGAUGUCGGAUUAGCUAGUUGGCGGGGUAAAGGCCCACCAAGGCGACGAUCCGUAGCUGGUCUGAGAGGAUGAUCAGCCACACUGGAACUGAGACACGGUCCAGACUCCUACGGGAGGCAGCAGUGGGGAAUAUUGGACAAUGGGCGCAAGCCUGAUCCAGCCAUACCGCGUGGGUGAAGAAGGCCUUCGGGUUGUAAAGCCCUUUUGUUGGGAAAGAAAAGCAGCAGGUUAAUACCCCGCUGUUCUGACGGUACCCAAAGAAUAAGCACCGGCUAACUUCGUG